rnacentral:rRNA from 1 species
UGCCAGCAGCCGCGGUAAUACGGAGGGUGCAAGCGUUGUCCGGAAUUAUUGGGCGUAAAGAGCUCGUAGGCGGUUUGUCGCGUCUGGUGUGAAAUCCCAUGGCUCAACUGUGGGCUUGCAUCGGGUACGGGCAGACUAGAGUGAUGUAGGGGAGACUGGAAUUCCUGGUGUAGCGGUGGAAUGCGCAGAUAUCAGGAGGAACACCGAUGGCGAAGGCAGGUCUCUGGGCAGUAACUGACGCUGAGGAGCGAAAGCGUGGGGAGCGAACAGGAUUAGAAACCCCGGUAGUCC